rnacentral:lncRNA from 1 species
CCUUCCUUCAAAUCAAGGAUUCAUCUCUACUGUUAAUAUCUUGCUAAGGAUGCCCGAUCUUCCUCUAGAUAUCUGAGAUAAAUACCUUAUUAUGAAAAUAGCAUCUUAAGCUGGUAAACCAAAGAUCCUACAUGACCAGAUUGCUAGCUCAUCCAGAUUUGGGUUCAUCUUAUUGGAUGAAAACUUCAAUUGGGCAGCCGUAAUAUUCUAUAAUGGAUCAGAAACAGAGAAAAGAGGAGC